rnacentral:lncRNA from 1 species
GAAGUGUUGAAUCAUAGUCUACAAAGAUUAAAAUAUUUCCUCUUUUCUUAGGGAGGGAAAGACAGGGAUAAUUAACAUUCCUUUGUAGUUUCAAAGUUCAAGAGAUGAGGAAUUUAAGGGAAAAAAAAUCUUUUCUUGUUCUAGGUGAUAAAUCCUCUUUCAUUAUUUCCACUGGGCAACGAGACAUCGGCCAGGACACAGAGCAUUCUGCACACACCAGUUUCUGUCAAUUCAAAACCCAAAACAAUUCUAACCAGAACUUUUGUUUUAAGGGAGGGCCUAUAUCAGGCAUUAUGAUGACAUAGAUUGAUCCAAAAGAUUACUUCUGAUCUAAAUGACUGUAAGGGAAUUUUUUUUUUUCUCUUUCCAGUGAGAUCCUGAUAAGUUAGGCAUGGAACUCUCAGUGUAAAAACUAAGCCAUUGGUGGACCCCUACUUCCUCCUUCACAGUCGUUUAAUUCAUAAAUAUUCAGGAAAUCCUGUAGUUAUAGGAAAGAUCAAUGUCAAGAUCAGAAGUGGUACUGCUUAAGUCUCAUUCAUGGAUGCCUAUAUCCUUAAGGACAAAUGUUUAAUUUUCUUUUCUUUUUGGUAUAUCACUAUUACUUUUAAGAUAUGCCUAUUUUGUUGUUGUUGUUGUUGUUAUUGUUGCUAUUUCUUGGGCCGCUCCCUCUGCAUAUGGAGGUUCCCAGGAUAGGGGUCCAAUUGGAGCUGUAGCCACCGGCCUACGCCAGAGCCACAGCAACGUGGGAUCCGAGCCGAGUCUGCAACCUACACCACAGCUCACGGCAACGCCGGAUCGUUAACCCACUGAGCAAGGCCAGGGACCGAACCCGCAACCUCAUGGUUCCUAGUCGGAUUCGUUAACCACUGCGCCACGACGGGAACUCCAGAUAUGCCUAUUUUUUUAAAUCAGUGGCAAUAAUUCAAAACAAGGAUGACAUUUUACUUCAGGUCAGCCAAGCCCUAGAAACCACAGUUAACUGCAUCAUCUUUCCUGGUAGGAGGAAAACAUACUAAGUUUAACUAGGAAUUGAUAGCACAGAGGAUCGGGAGACCUGUGUUUCUACCACAAACCCAUAUAAGAUUUUGGUGAAAUCAUUUGUUUAUAUAGGUCUUCCUAGACUUAUCAUGGGCUUAUAGCCCAAGAAACCCAUUGUACAUUGAAAAUAUCUUAAGUCUAAAAUGCAUUGAUAUUCCUACUCUACCAAAAUCACAGCCUAGCCUGCUUUAAACAUGCUCAGAAUAUUUACAUUAGCCUAGAGUUGGGCCAAAUCAUCCAACAAAAACCUGUUUUAUAAUGAAAUGUGGAGUAUCUGGGUAAUGUAUUGAAUCCUGUGCUGAAAGUGAGAAACAGAAUGCCCGUCUGGGUGCAGAAGUGGUUGUUUACCCUCAGGAUCACGUGGUCGACAGGGAGCUGUGGGCUCCGUAAAACCGUCCAGUGUCACAAGAGGGUAUCAUACCACAGACCACCACCCAGGGGAAAGAUCCGAAUUCAAAAUCUGAAGGACUGACGGCAUAUAGCUUCUGCACCACUGUAAAUCCGAAAAACCACUAUAAGUUGGGGCCUGAAGGUAUUGCCCUAAACUUUCCAACCCCAAGCUAGGAAUGAUACCCUGGUGUCCUAUAACUCAAAAGUAUUAUUGAAAUUAGCUGAAUAUUUGUGGUGAGAGGACAUUUCAUAAGAGAGAAGAUUUAUAAACUUGCCUAAUAUCUUCCCUCAGGUUGUUUGAUCAAUCUUAUUCUAUAAGAUUCUUCCUUGAAGAAAUUUACUAUGUCACUCAUGCUCGCCUUACUAUAAAGCAAUGAUAUAUCAGCUGUGGCUGGGAAAAGGUUUUUUAACGUAUUCUGCAAGAACAUUACCACUGACCUUAUGCUAUAACCAUCCUUCAUAGGCCAAGCUAAUCCAUGUUCCUUUAGAGAUCCAGAGGAGUUCAUGAAACAUAUCAUGGACCUCCAACCGUUAUGCUCUCUGCGUGUUUUUGUUUGGUUUGGUUUGGUUUUUAUCACUAUGCUUAGUUCUGUUUGUAAUGAGUCUUCUUCUCUCCACUAACAGCCAUCCUACCUCUUCUACUUUGCCUUUGCAGAGUAGGGCCAUGGGGGCUUCAUCGUGGCCACCAUGAUAUGUGCAGCCCCCAGGAAGUUGGUGUGAUGCUCUAAGUUCCUACACACUGGUCUGCUCCAGUGUUUACCAGUUUACUACAACUUCACUGCAGGCCACAAGAAGCAAUGAGAGGAGACUCUGUCUCUUGUUGGGGUCAGGGUUACAGCUUGACUAAACUUUGAUUCUUUACAAUGAGCUGUAACUCCUCCUAACUUUGAGGAGAACCGAUGGACUCAAGAUAAGACGGCAUUAGGACCUUGAGAAGGCAGCACCUUUCCCAAGAUAGGAAUCCCUUUUUAACCACCCAGUGACUCUAGUGUGGAACACUAAAAUAGGAACAACUGGAACCAAAAAAUCCAGAUAGUGCCCCUUACAAUCACUACUGUCACCACCAUGUGACAAUUUCCUUAAUUUCUCAGAACCUCCGUUUUUUUGUUUUUUUGUUUUAUCAUUUCCGUAGGAUUGCUCAUACCAUGCAAAAUCCUAACAUAUGCAGUGGGCACCCAUGAUAUGUUGGGUCUUUCCCCUCCAAAGUAUUUUUAGAGAAUUAGAUCUUUUAAAUAUUAAUAUACAUACAACAGCUAAAAACACUUUUGUAACAAGCAUAAAUCUCUCUCACACACAAACGCACAUAUUUAUUAUGUAAAAUAUAAGAAAGUUUAGACACUUUGAAUUUUUCAUGGUUUCUGUGGGAUUGGGGAUGAGAUGUAGAAUGCAAUGCAAAUGAGAAGAAACAAGGACUUUUAAAAAAAGGUUAUUUUUAGAAAAAUUUUAGGUUUAUACCAAAAUUGAGAGGAAGAAACAAGGAUUUUUGACUUCUAAUGUUUUUGAAAGGCAGAUGUAAGCAGAGGCUGAUGUUUUACAGAAUAAGAUCUUCAGGCUCAAAUAUAACAUCAACAACUGCUCUCUGCCCACAAAGAAUUAGUAUUGUUUGGAUCGUGAAGGAGUAAAUAUUAUGAAUCCCUACUGACCAAUUAGUAGCAUGCGCAAUACAACUACUGAACAAAUAUAGAUCAAAGAAAGAGCAUCUGGCUUUUGGCAAUGAGAGGAUACAUAGCAAAUGUGGUGGGAAAUUAUUCAGGGAACUGCAGAUAAUUUGAGCUGCAUCACUCUUUGUUAAGGAAGCCACCUACAAGGUCAUGUUAUCAUGGAAAAAAAGGUAUUGGAAUAAUUAUCUCCUUUUCCUAAAACAAGUUUCAGUUCCAUUCAAUUCAAGACAUAUUUAUUGAGCACCUACCAGGAAAUCUACUAUGUUUCAGGGACAUUGGCUGGCAUUUGUGGAGAGUAGUGAACCAGGAUGUUGACAAGCACAGACUUUGGUGUCAGGUAGAGAAGGUUUGAAACCCAACUUCAUCACUCACUUGUUUUUUUCUUUUUUCUUUCUUUUUCUUUGUAGGGCCACACCUGCAGCAUAUGGAAGUUCCUGGGCUAGGGGUCAAAUUGGAGCUACAGCAGCAGGCCUACGCCGUAGUCACAGAAACCUCCACCUGAGCCGCAUCUUCAACCUACACACACCCCAGCUUGCUGCAGCAGCGGAUCCUUGACCCACUGAGUGAGGCCACAGAUCAAACCCUCAUCUCACAGACACUAUGUCAGGUUCUUAACCUGCUGAGCCAUAAUGAGAACUCUUAUUUUUUGUUUCUGUUUUUUACCUUGGGAAGUUUGAUAAUUCUCUCUUUCUAGAAACAGACCUAGGAAAGUGAUGUCUAUAGAAAGAGAGAUGGAUAGACAGUCAUUGAGAUACAGUGAUAAAGGGCUAACAACGAUAAAAACCACUGGUUGAGUGAUGCUUGGCAAUUUGCUAAGUACAUUUUAUAUGCCAUUUUUCAUUUUAAUAGAAUACUAAGGCUAAAGAGAUGGGAAUUUCUUUUCUUAUUUCUACAUUAUAAAUGAUUAAAAGUGAUCCGACCAUAAAGAAGCGAUAGUUAAACUUGAAAGAGUAUCUUUGGACCAUCAGUGGUAAAGCAAGGACUUUUACUGAAAGAGUGACUGACACAGCAUGACUUCAUGUCACUUGGCCAUACCGGACUCUGACCAUAGGGUAGGAAGCAAUAAAAUUUUAGCAAGAAUCAGAGGUAAAGAAGCAAUUAAAGCUUUUAGCAAUAUGUGAGAGUAUAUGAGAAAUUAACCUAAAUACAUUUUACUGUAUAUAAACUGUGGAGGUGUAUGCCUGGAUCCAACUCCCUUAAAAGGCAAAAACACCUACACAGGAACUAGUGGGAUAAGCAGAUCUUCCUGGAAUUUUCUUCUGAGAGAAUAGUUCUUUUUACUUCACUUAUUAAUUUUUUUAAGAAACAUGAAAUACAUACAAUUAUAAAGAAGAUUUUCAAUAGUCAUUUUCAGUUUUUAAACUCUAAAGUGCUUUAUUAUAGUCUUUAAUUUGCUCUAACAGGCGCACAUACUUCAUGAUUUGUUGAAGAUAUAAUUGACGUGCAAUCACCUGCAUAUAUCUUAAGUGUACAAUUUAAGUUGUGUAUACAGUUUUGUACAAAAGUAAGUGCAAUUUUAAAGUUUUGACACGUUUGCAACUGUGAAAUCAUCACCCUCAAAGCAUCCUCCCAUCCCGUAUAGUUCAUUCCAUCCCCCCUAUGACCCCAUGUCCAAGCAACUACUGACUUUCUGUCACUAUAGCUUAGUCGCUUUUUCUAGAAUUUUACAUGAAAGACAUCUUACAGUGAGUAUUCUUCUUUUACUCAACACAAUUAUUUUGUAAUUCAUCAAUGUCACUGCCUAUGUCAAUAGUUCAUUCCUUUUUUAUCAUCAAGUACUUUUCUAUUUCAUGGCUACACCACAAUUUGUUUCUCCCAUUCAUUGUAUUUGGAAAUAUGAACUGUUUCCAGUUUGAGGCAAUGGUCAAUGCUCUGAACAUUUGGGUAUAACUCUUUGCAGGAGCAAAUGCUAUCUUUUCUCAUAAGUAAUACAAGGGGAUUGGCUGGAUCAUAUAGAAUGUUGUCAUUUUAUAUAUACUGGAAACAAGUUAUUUGUCAUAUAUAUCUUCUCAAUAUGUUCUCUAGUCUGUCUUUUCAGUCUCUUAAUAGCACUUUUUGAAGAGCUAAUCAUUUUCGUUUUGAUGACAUCCAGUUACUAUUUUUGUCUUUUAUGUUUAAUGCUUCUAGUUUGGAAUCCAGAAAUCUUUGUCUAACUCAAGAUAACAAUAAUUUUCAACCAUGUUUUCUUCAGAAAAUUUUAUCGUUUUAGUUCUGCACAUUUUGUUCUACAAUGCGCUUUGAUGUAAUUUUCAUACACGGUGUCAUCAUAGCUUAAAGUUCAUUUUGGGGGAGAGUUGCCCUUGGAUCUCCAGUUAUUUAUUCCAGAACCAUUUGUUGAAAAGAUGAUCCUUUUCCACUAAAUUACCUUUGUACUUUUGUCAACAUCGAUUGUCCAUAAUGUUGAUACCCACGGGGUUGAUUAUUAUCAUUUUAUAAUAAAUCUUGAAAGAGAUAAUGCAAGUCAUCAAAUUUGUUCUUCUUUUUCAAAUUUGUUUUAUAUAUUCUUAGUUCUAUGCAUUCAAAUACAAAUUUUAGAAUUGUAUUGUCAAUCUUUACAGGAUAGCAUCCAGGAAUUUCGAUUAGGAUUUUUUGGAAUUUGUAGAUCAAUUUUGAGAGAAUUAGCAUAUUAAUAUUAAGUCUUCUAGGGCAUGAACAAGGUAUAGCUCUACAUUUAUGUAGAUAUCUUUUAAUUAUUUCGGGAGGGUUUUGUAGUUUUCAGUGUAGAGGUCUUGUACAUAUUUGGUUUGAUUUACCACUAAGUCAUUCAUAAUUUUUUGCUAUUGUAAAUAGUGGUUUUUUUUUUAAUUUCAAUUUCUGAUCGUUCAUGGCUUGUAUGUGAAAGUACAAUUGACUUUGUAAAUUGGGCUCAUAUUCUACUAUCUUGCAAAACUCACUUCUUGCUCUAGUGGUGAGAGUGGAUAUCGACUGUUGUUUAUCUGAGGAAUGCAAGGUUGACUUCAUAUUUAAAGAUCAGUCAAUGAAAACCACCUUUAUUUAUUUAUGUAUUUAUUUUGGCCUUACUUGCAGCAUAUGAAAGUUCCUGGGCCAGGGACUGAGUCUGAACCACAUCUAUGACCUUUGCCACAGCUGCAGCAACGCCAGGUCCUGAACCCACUGCACCAUGUUGGUGAUUGAACCUGUAUCUCUGCAGCGACUUGAGUCACUGCAGUCGAAUUCUUAGCCCAUUGCACCACAGUGGGAACUCCAAAAAUCACCAUUUAAAUAAAGUAAAAAAGAAAAAAAAUCUCAAAAGAUUAAGGAAAAGCAUUUGACAAAGUCCAAUAUC